GACCACUGCUAUCAGAGUUCGAUUAAGCCAUGCGAGGUAUUGCCGCAAGGCAAACCGCACUGCUCAGUAACACGUGGUUAACCUACCCUCAAGUCUGGGAUAACUCCGGGAAACUGGAGAUAAUACCAGAUAGGCAAAAGAUACUGGAAGGUUCUUUUGCUCAAAGCUUCGGCGCUUGAGGAUGGGACUGCGUCGGAUUAGCUUGUUGUCGGGGUAAUUGCCCGACGAGGCGAUAAUCCGUACGGGUUGUGAGAGCAAUAGCCCGGAGAUGGAUUCUGAGACAUGAAUCCAGGUCCUACGGGACGCAGCAGGCGCGAAACCUUCGCAAUGCCUGAAAGGGUGACGAGGGAACUCUGAGUGACUUCGCAAUGCGGAGUCUUUUGCCGAGUGCAAAAAGCUCGGAGAAUAAGUGGUGGGCAAGACAGUUGCCAGCCGCCGCGGUAAUAACUGCGCCACGAGUGGUGGUCUCGAUUAUUGGGCUUAAAGUGUCCGUAGCCGGCCUUACAAGCAUCUGGUGAAAUCCGGCAGUAAACUGUCGGGCUGGCUAGAUGAACUGUAAGGCUAGGGACCGGGAGGGGCCGGGAGUACUCCUAGGGUAGGGGUUAAAUCCUUUAAUCCUAGGGGGACUACCAGUGGCGAAGGCGCCCGGCUAGAACGGGUCCGACGGUGAGGGACGAAAGCUGGGGGAGCGAUCCGGAUUAGAUACCCGGGUAGUCCCAGCUGUAAACGAUGCCCGCUUGGCGUGGUGAAACUCUCGGGGUUUUGCCGUGCCGUAGCGAAAGUGUUAAGCGGGCCGCCUGGGGAGUACGGCCGCAAGGCUGAAACUUAAGGGAAUUGGCGGGGGAGCACUACAAGGGGUGGAGGCUGCGGUUU
rnacentral:rRNA from 1 species